rnacentral:rRNA from 1 species
UACAGGGGGGGGCAAGCGUUGUUCGGAAUUACUGGGCGUAAAGGGCUCGUAGGCGGCCAACUAAGUCAGACGUGAAAUCCCCAGGCUCAACCUGGGAACUGCGUCUGAUACUGGAUGGCUUGAAUCCGGGAGAGGGAUGCAGAAUUCCAGGUGUAGCGGUGAAAUGCGUAGAUAUCUGGAGGAAUACCGGUGGCGAAGGCGGCAUCCUGGACCGGCAUUGACGCUGAGGAGCGAAAGCCAGGGGAGCAAACGGG